CGCAACUGCUUCCAGUUGCAUUGAGGGGGCUUCUAUCGAAAAACGUCUAAUUAGCCAUUGUGAAUCUAUGUGCAUUCCUCAAUGCAAUCUCUCAGAAGGUGAUCGAUCCAGAAAUCAUACCAAGGCUAAGGAGUGAUGUGGUGCAAUGUCUUGUCAGUUUUGAGCUGGUGUUCCCACCAUCCUUCUUCAAUAUCAUGACGCACGUCCUAGUUCAUUUGGCCCAGCGGUGAGCUGCAGUGCCGCUAGCUCGUCCGCGACGGCUACGACGCCAUCUGUGUCGUCCCUUGGUCUCUUCCCCCCGGCAGCAACCUUCUUGACGGUGUGGUCUUCCUCCUCCCCCUCCCUUAAUUUCUAGGUUUUUGAAGUCGGUUCAGUAGUUAAUUCACGGCCCAUGAGUUUGUGUAGAACGACAGGCGGCGGCAGAAAGAGCCAUUCCAUGACGAAUCUCUGGUAUGAUGACUCAUUCCUCUGUUUCCCGGUUCUGGAUUCAAGUUCCCAAAUGGAUACUUUUUUUUCUUGAUUGUGACUUUUGGAAUUUUCGAUUUGAUAGAUGAGAGGGCCAGCAAAAUGUGAUCAAUCAAUGGAGGUUGCAAGGGUGGUGAGAAUCUAUUGGCCGACGUUUGUUUAGUGUCAUAAUCUUAGAGUUUUUUCUGAUUCUCUAGAAUGUUGAAACAGUCUGGCUGUUUCAGUUUACGUCUUGCAUGGUCAGUGCAGAUGAAGUUUUUUUGGAUUAAUGUUUCUGCCCUAACGAGUUCCUUCCAUUUUUAUGUCUCAGGUUGUACGAUAUCCGCAGAUUGGCGCUUCUUUGUUCUGUCAGUGGAGAUUCAGUGUAUCACUGCAAAUUCCUUACUGCGUCAGUGUAUCAUAGCAAGUUCCUUACACUAGCAAAUUCUGUGUUUUUUGUAUUUUUGUUGAUGCAAGCCUGUUCUUUGACUAUAAAAGGAGCAGAGAUUUCUUUUCUUGUCAAGUCUAAUCCUUUUUUGAUGCAUUGCAGAUUGCUAUCAAACUCUCAAAAAGGAAAAUCAGCUUUAUUCUAAUUUGGCAAAGCUUGGAGGAUAUUUUUACACCAUGAAGAUAAGAGGAUGGGAAGGGACGAUCUUCAUGAGCCUCAGUGGUACUAUCAUAUUAUCAUAACUGCUGCAAAGUUCAUAUAAUGAUCCCUGUUUCAGACUCAGAUCAAAGGAACAAGGUGAUCAAUACGUUUCAGCCAUGGAAUACUGCAUCAAGAAAAACGAUCGAGUUGAGCAUACCGUGAUGUUGUGACAGGAGAUUCCGUUAGCUUUCAAACAAAGUAAUCCAGUAGAUAGGUCAACAUAUUUUGAAGGAACAACAAGCCUUCAAUGAACUCAGCCGGUAAUAGAAGGGAGUCCAGUACUAGCUAAUUCCACUUAGUACAAGAUGUAUGCCUGAUUAUCUGUGUGCGCAAUUUGUCAAGAACACAC